rnacentral:snoRNA from 1 species
CUGCAGCUUAUUAAGCCACCCAGUCUCCCUGCUGUGCGGUUCUGGUGUGCAAUGGCUGCAGACAGUGACUCUGUGGUUGUGUAUGUGGCCAGCUGGGAGGUGCUGGCUGCUUUUAAGGGACCUGUGAGACAAAA